UCUUGUCGCGGCGUUCUUCACCAAGGUUCAAGGAUCCCAGGGCAAGUCCUGUAGUUGAGCUGCAAAAUGACCUCCUUCCCAUCUAUCCAGCUGGUUGUAGGGAGGGUCUCCUGAUAGUUUUCCUACUGAUUUUCCACAUCAAAAGACCAAAAUAAAUUCCCAGCUGAACUUGGAAAGAGCUGAGGACAAAGAAACCCAGAAAGAAAUCUUCUUAGGUGAGCACAGAAAGGAAACUGAGGCAGGCAGAGGCUUGUGAACUUAUACCUUUAUUAGAUAGUGUUAAGGUAGUUUUGGAAUUUUGGUUGGUGCCCACAGGCCCCUUUGCAUGGUGGGAAAACACAGGUUAAGAGCCAGGCAUACUUGAAUUGGCUGUCAGUUCCCCUACUUACUAAUUCUAAAAUACUGGUCAGUUCCCCUCUCUGACCAUCAGUUUCUUCAUCUAUGUAUUUGAAAUAAUAUCUAUCUCUCAAGGUUUUCCAUGUGAAGUACAGCCUUUCAGUGAAGUGCUUGUGCUUUUGUUAUCCUUAUUGUUGCAAUUGUAGGGGCGGGAAAUUUUUUCCUUCUUCGUUUCUAGGUUCUUUGGCUGGUCUAAUAAUUGACAUAUGACAGAUUAACAGGAGAAAAACUAAUUUAAUUUUUAAAUUAAUUUUAAUUGGAAGAUGAUUACUUCACAUAUUGUGAUGUUUUUGCCA
rnacentral:lncRNA from 1 species